CUCUGACACAGUAACUGCGCUACAGAAGCAUCAAUUAUACAUUAUAAUGAUAGAUGACAAAACAAGUAAAAACAAGUGAAACUGCGAGCUACUGCUCACUGAUGAUACCCCCGCCGCAAGUGGAAAAUAUUAAUAGUGUAAAAAUAUGCAAGUGUUCGGUAAACAGGAAGUUGUCGAGUGAUGAAUCCGAGAACGCAUCACACGGUAUAGCUGACUUAUAUAAAUCCUGAAACCAAAUUUCAGAAAUCCUUGUAUUGUAGUUCCUUAGAAAAAUGUGACGAAAAUUUUCAACUUGGCUAUCAUGUGUAAAAUCAUACAAGUGUUCGGUAAACAGGAAGUUGUCAAGUGAUCAAUCUGAAAACACAUCACACGGUAUAGCUGACUCAGAUAAACCCUGAAACCAAAUUUCAGAAAUCCUUGUAUUGUAGUUCCUGAGAAAAAUGUGACGAAAACUUUCAACUUGGCUAUCAUGUGUAAAAUCAUUCAAGUGUUCGGUAAACAGGAAGUUGUCAAGUGAUCAAUCUGAAAACGCAUCACACGGUAUGUGACAAAAGUUUCAUGGGACGGGCUGACUGACGGACGGACUGACAGACAGACAGAGGUAAAACAGUAUACCCCCCCUUUUUUAAAGCGGGGGUAUAAUUAUCUUAUAUAUUGAACUAUAAGUUUUCAAAUUAUUAUAUAUUAUAGACAAAAUUUUUGAAAUUUUCAAUUGCUUUAACAAUUUCAUCCUCUGUUUUUUCAGAGUUAAGAUUACAAUUAACUAACAGUCCUGAACUUGAAAUUCAAUACAGAAAUUACUCAAAAAUAUAAUUAAUUAGAUAUAAUUGAUCAGGUUUGACGGAAAUAAUUGGUUAAAACAUUUCCAACAAAUUUUCUUUUGUUAUUGUAGUAGAUGGAUUCCUAUAAAGAAUAUCUAAGGUUGUGAUGUUUACCAAUAGUAAUAAAACAUAGUCAAGAGAGUUUUUUUUAAACAAUUAUAUUUUCAAUUAUAAUGUAAUGAAAUAUAUCUAUAAUGAAUAAUAAAAAUUAGUCACACAUAUGUAAUCAAUUAUUGGGUUC
rnacentral:lncRNA from 1 species